ensembl:lncRNA
AUAGAAAGUAUAGAGAGGGAGGGGGGUCUGCUGCUGCUUUUCAUAUGAGCGGAAGGCGUCAUAUUCCGUGCAGUUCAAGCGCUGUUGUUGGCCAAGGCUUACACGAGAUGACCGGAGAGGGGCUGUUUCACAGAUAACGGAACAGUGAAAAGAGAGCGGCGACGCAAGGAGGCAGAAGACGACGGCGACGACGACGACAAGCCAUAAAAACGUCAAAAACCGUGUUAUCGGGAAAGACAACAGCGCGUUUCACUCCCCUCCAUCACCUCCGCUCGAGCCAAUCGAGAUGGAUUUAUCUUCUGCACCAUUUAUCAGAUCACUCGCCCAAGCGAACCGUGCUUCGCGCGCAGCAGCAGCAACACCGACCGCGGUCCCUUUCGUUUGCUCUCGUUAGAGAGCGUUUUGUUUUGUUAUUCGAACAGUGUGCGCGCUCUCCUGGACGUCGAGGAAUUGAACCUGCUGCCAUUGAACUGAAAAAACGGAGGAGACUGGCUUGUGGACUCUUGAGCUAUAACUAGCAGGCAACCCCUUUUUGUCGCGCGCCGCCGAGCGAAACCGUAAGAUAUCGUCUAGCCCACUGCUGCCCUGAUGCAAAAACACCGCCGCAGCCUCGAGAAGCUAUGCAUGUGUUUGAUAAGAUAAAUAUGUGACGGGGGAAUAACGGGAGACCCCGGCCCGGUUCUGUCUGAUCUGCACACCCAGGCUGAUAGCGGAGGCUCUGGUGACGAGAUGGAAAUGGCAUAAAUUCAUCUUUUAUACAUCAACAAGGAGACUGAAGGACGGAACGGACACAUCUGACACCACUAUCUGCAUCUAGAGACAUCAAACACAGGCGAUGGAAAAUCAACCAUAUGCCAUGUCUGAAGACUAAGUGCCCUGAAUGUGGAAAUGUCAGAAAUUCCUCAAGAAUAUCAACAGAUGAACGUAAGAACUGACCUUUUAUAAAUUCUGCCGUUACGCUCCUGUUUUUUUUCUAAAGUAGCAUGUGAUUCGGUUGCAAUAAAAAAUAAAAAAAAAUCAUAAAGAUAUCCCG